CCAUACCCCUGUGUACUACCUUAAUGUUGCCUCGGCGGAUCAUCCCGCGCCCCGUAAAACGGGACGGCCCGCCAGAGGACCCAAACUCUAAUGUUUCUUAUUGUAACUUCUGAGUAAAACAAACAAAUAAAUCAAAACUUUCAACAACGGAUCUCUUGGUUCUGGCAUCGAUGAAGAACGCAGCAAAAUGCGAUAAGUAAUGUGAAUUGCAGAAUUCAAUGAAUCAUCAAAUCUUUGAACGCACAUUGCGCCCGCUGGUAUUCCGGCGGGCAUGCCUGUUCGAGCGUCAUUUCAACCCUCAAGCCCCCGGGUUUGGUGUUGGGGAUCGCAGCUUGUGUGUUGGGCUCCGGCCCCCCGGGGACGGUUCCGAAAGGCAACGGCGGCACCGAGUCCGGUCCUCGAGCGUAUGGAGCUUUGUCACCCGGUCUGUAGGCCCGGCCGGCUCCAGCCGACAACCAAUCAUCCUUUUUUCAGGUUGACCUCGGAUCAGGUUGGGAUACCCGCUGAACUUGAGAAUAUCAAUAACUUAAAGGAAUC
rnacentral:rRNA from 1 species